rnacentral:lncRNA from 1 species
UAUCUUUCACUGUUUCUUCAACUAACAGAUCCCAAAAGUUGCAUCUCUCACAAAAAUCGGAUGAUUUAUUGCCACUAAACUACCCAAACACAUUCUUGAAUCUCAUCUUUAUAUUAUAAAAAAAAACUAAAAAAACCUAACUUUCCUAUCACAAACCUACUAAUUUCACUAGCUUUCUUUCUCCACCAAGGUUUAAUUGAAUCUUGUU